CCUAUCUGUUGAUCCUGCCAGUAGUCAUAUGCUUGUCUCAAAGAUUAAGCCAUGCAUGUCCGAGUUCGCACCCCAUAAGCACGGGCAAACCGCGAAUGGCUCAUUAGAUCAGUCAGGGUUCCUUAGGCGAUACGGCCCCUCGCGGGCGAGACGGAUAACUGUGGCAAAUCCAGAGCUAAUACGUGCGAGCGAGCCCCGACCCUCCCCGCAAGGGGACGGGGAAGGGCGCUUUUAUUAGUACAAGACCGGCGUCCGCGGGUCUCACGACCCCGGGCCCACCGCCAGGCGAACUCUGGAUAACUCGCCCGACCGCUAUGUCCUUCGGGACGGCGGCGCGCCUUUCAAGCGCCUGCCCUAUCAAAUGUCGACGGUAGGUCAAACGCCAACCGUGUUGACGACGGGUGACGGGGAAUCGGGGUUCGGUUCCGGAGAGGGAGCACGAGAAACGGCUACCACAUCCAAGGAAGGCAGCAGGCGCGCAACUUACCCACUCCCGGCUCGGGGAGGUAGUGACGAGAAAUAACGAUGCGGGUCUCGAGUCGGGCCCCGCGGUCGGAAUGAGCGCAGUCCAAACCCCUGACGGCGACGACCCAUCGGAGGGCAAGCCUGGUGCCAGCAGCCGCGGUAAUUCCAGCUCCGAUAGCGUAUAUUAAAGCUGCUGCAGUUAAAAAGCUCGUAGUUGGAUCUCGAGGCGGGGCGACGUCGACGAGCGCUCGUCUCGGUUGGGAGGGGGAAUCGUUCGUCCUCGUGGCGGCGGUUUCCUCUUUUUCUCCGGGCGCGGCGUUUUCGGCGUCGCACCGCCCCCAAUCGCGCCGGCUCUCUCCCGCGUGCCGCUCUUCACUGAGCGGCCCGGGUGGCCGGCCAUUCACUUUGAAAAAAUUAGAGUGUUCAAAGCGGGCAGGAGCGCCCGGAUAACGUCGCAUGGAAUGAUGGAACAGGACCGCCGUCCCGUUUUCGGCCGGUCUCAGGGGCGGAGGUAAUGAUUGAAAGGGACGGCCGGGGGCAUUCGUACCGCGGCGGGAGAGGUGAAAUUCGAUGAUCGCCGCGAGACGCCCGAGAGCGAAAGCAUUUGUCAAGAGCGCUUUCUUUAAUCAAGAACGAAAGUCGGAGGCUCGAAGACGAUCAGAUACCGUCGUAGUUCCGACCGUAAACGAUGCCGACCGGCGACCCGCGGAAGCCUCGACGGGCUGCGCGGGACGCCCCCGGGAAACCAGAGUCUCUGGGUUCCGGGGGGAGUAUGGUCGCAAGGCUGAAACUUAAAGGAAUUGACGGAAGGGCACCACCAGGAGUGGGGUCUGCGGCUUAAUUUGACUCAACACGGGAAAACUCACCCGGUCCGGACACCGCUAGGAUUGACAGACUGAGGCUCUUUCUUGAUUCGGUGGGUGGUGGUGCAUGGCCGUUCUUAGUUGGUGGAGCGAUCUGUCUGGUUAAUUCCGAUAACGAACGAGACUCCGGCCUGCUAGUUAGCGCGGCGGCGUACGGCGUCCGACGAGUGUCCGGUCUGCCGUUCGGCGUCCUCACGGGCGUCCGGGCGGUACGAUUCGGUAUUCGACAGGGCAGCCCGCCGUCGUCAUGAGUAAGGCUUCUUAGAGGGACGGGCGGUGGCCAGCCGCACGAAAAGGAGCGAUAACAGGUCUGUGAUGCCCUUAGACGUCCGGGGCCGCACGCGUGCUACACUGGGGGAGUCAGCGCGGAACUCUUCCCUGCCCGGAGGGCGUAGGGAAAGCCGCUGAGUCUCCCCCGUGAUCGGGACCGGGGCUUGGCCAUUGUGCCCCGCCAACGAGGAAUUCCCCGUAGGCGCGGGUCAUAACCCCGCGCCGACUACGUCCCUGCCCUUUGUACACACCGCCCGUCGCUACCAUCGGUGAACGGUCUAGCGAGGACCUCGGACCGGCGCAAGUUUCGCACUAGCGUCCGGGAAGACGCCCGAACUCGGUCGCUCGGAGAUAGUAAAAGUCGUAACAAGGUUUCCGUAGUGAACCUGCGGAAGGAUC
rnacentral:rRNA from 1 species